UUUACAUAAACUCUAAUUUCCCCAAUUCCUAACCCUAACCUCCCUCACCACACUCAACCGCACCCUACCCCUUUCUCUUCCUUCAACGAAAAGUUGCAGAAACAGAAAAUUAGAAAGAAAAAAAAAGCAGAAAGGAAGGAGAAGAAGAGGUCUGCAAUCGAGGAAGGGAGGGGAAGAGAGCGACGCAGCCGCUGCGAGCUGAUCGUCGCCGAUCCCGUCACCCGUGCCGUCCGUUUUCAUCGCUGCCAGCUGAAGAGAGAUGCGAUGGAGAGAGAGAGAGAGAGGGGGUCUGCGGAGGGAGGCGUCGCCGUUUCAUGUGGCCGCGUCGUCGUCGCCGUCCUUGGAGAUCCACGAACAGAGAGAGCACGCACGGGGUGGAGGACGGCGCUGCUGUCACCGUCGUUAGAGCUACCGCGAGAGAAGAGGAGGAAGGGACACUGUCUUGCACCGUCGCCAUCGUGCCUGGCUGCUGCUGCUGUGAGCUCACGUUGCCCGCGUCGCCGUGCCAUCAUCACACCAUGGGUCUACUCUGUUCGUGAGCAGAGCUAAGGAAGAAGAGAUGAACGCGACGGGGAGGAGUGCGUGAGCCGCGCUUAGGGUCUCACCGCCGCCGUCCCUGUUGUGGCUGGUGUCGUCGCCGGAGAACCACUAUCGCUGGAGAGAGGGUGGGCCAGAGAAGGAGGACUAGACAUGUGAGAAGGGUAACGCACAGAGGAGGAACCGUUCCUCUGCCGCCACCGAAAAAUGCCACUGCCGUCGCCAGAAAAAGCACUGCCGGUAAGGGUUUUAAAUCUGGUUUCUGUUCUUGCGGAAUUCCAGAAAGAUUUUUGACGCUGCGUGGUUGUUACUAUCACCGUCAUCGGGGUUUUACAUUGCCGCUGUCGCUUGAGGUUAUUGAUGAAGCCGCUGCCAGGUCGAUUUGGAGUUACGACUGCUUCCUUUUGUUAAUUCAGUUAGUAUUUGUGCCAUUUGUAGCUAUUUCUGCUUUUGAGAGAGAGCAAGCAGAGCCGUGGUUUUGAUUGCCGGUGAUUUUGGAUUGAGACAAAAAGAACUCUGUGAGGCGUUUGGGCUAUGGUUUUGCAUAGAGAUCUUUCUUUUCAGGUUACGGACGAUGAAGUUCAGAAAAGCUUAUUUCUUUUCUGUUAGACGACUGUUCUGUAUUAUUUUAGUAUUUAUGUUUCACUCACCUUUAACUUUGCAACCCUUGUAAGAGGGAUAUGAUCUUGAUUUGAGAUGCUUGUAAAUUAAUAUAUAUGUAUAUGUAUAUAUGUAUUUCCGAUGAGUAUUGUAACUUAUAUUGUAAAUAUGAGUGUAUGUUUUCGAAAAAUUCGGUUAA